AACGAACGCUGGCGGCAGGCCUAACACAUGCAAGUCGAGGGAGAAGCUACUUUCGGGUAGUGGAGACCGGCAGACGGGUGAGUAACACGUGGGAACAUACCGAGUAGUGGGGGAUAACAGUUGGAAACGACUGCUAAUACCGCAUACGCCCUUCGGGGGAAAGAUUUAUCGCUAUUUGAUUGGCCCGCGUUAGAUUAGCUAGUUGGUAAGGUAACGGCUUACCAAGGCGACGAUCUAUAGCUGGUUUGAGAGGAUGAUCAGCCACACUGGGACUGAGACACGGCCCAGACUCCUACGGGAGGCAGCAGUGGGGAAUAUUGCGCAAUGGAGGAAACUCUGACGCAGCCAUGCCGCGUGAGUGAAGACGGCCUUAGGGUUGUAAAGCUCUUUCAGACGUGAUGAUGAUGACAGUAGCGUCAAAAAG
rnacentral:rRNA from 1 species